AUGGCGUACGUCCCUCCCCACAAGCGUCGUUCGAGCACCUCCGAGCCCGCCCCAACCCCUUCCCCGCCCACCUCCUCCCUCCAUUCCCUCUCCAUCUCCUCCCCCCGCGGGCGUCACCACGUUCCCCCGUCCAACAAAUCCACGCCGCAGACUGCGUCUCCCGCUGGUUCCCGCUCCCGCCCUUCUCCGACGACGCUGAAUCUGUUCUUGCCGGACCUCUUAUACGCGGCGGAGAAGGCGAGGGCGAGGACGCACGAUGUGCCCAGGGAAGACGAGGAGGCAAAACUGAGUCUCAUGGCAAGGGUGGGCAAGGUCCUGUUCGAACGUUUUUGUGUUGGUGGAUUGCCCGUCUCUCUGGACGCCGUCCGCGACCUUGCAGAGGCAGGGACAGAAGGAUCCAAGAGCCCGGUCCGUAAAACGUUCCAUACGAAUGUCCCCAGUUAUCUCUUUGAUGACAUGGAGCAAUUCGCUCUGGAGAGGAUGGGGCUGGAGUUCCUUUCAACAAAAGAGCGCUACCAUGUCAAGAUGGUCGACAAGCAGGGAAGGUAUUCCAAAAUGUCUUGCAAAUGCACUGCGCAAGAAGAUGGGAAGCUUGCAAUCGACAAGAUUGAAUCGAACCAGAUACGACAAUUAGUGGAAGACGUAUCCUGCCUGUCGAAAGAUCUUGAUUUAAGGCUGAUGUUGAAUACGAAUAGGAUCCGAAUAGACCCUGAAGUGGAAAAUGCCAUCAAGAGCUUAGUAUCUUCAGCUAUUGUUGAUCCUAAUGCCAGUGGGGGGUUUAGACAGCCACAUGGGAAUAAGUUGAUUGAUGAGAGGUUCAGCAUAACUGGAGUGUGGCGUACAAACUACAAGACUUUUGGGAAUAAAUCCUUAAAGAUGUAUCUAAGGCAUAGUGGCCGGUUUGUCCAAGGGAGCUCCACUGGAGAGCUUUCCAAUGAAGUUAGCUUCAAAUUAGCUGGCAUGUGCAAGAGACUGCAGGACGGCGGCAUUCAAGAGGUGGACACUCUAAAGGGGAUGCUGGAGUCUGUGGUGCGGAUGAUCUGGGACUAUGCUUUGAGUUAUCAUAAAUCUAAUCAUGCUAUAUAA
rnacentral:rRNA from 1 species